rnacentral:rRNA from 1 species
GACAGAUGGUGCAAACGUUUGUUCGGAAUUACUGGGCGUAAAGCGCGUGUAGGUGGCAAGGCAAGUCGGGUGUGAAAGCCCUGGGCUCAACCCAGGAAGUGCACUCGAUACUGCCUCGCUAGAGUCCCGGAGAGGUUGGUGGAACUCUCGGUGUAGAGGUGAAAUUCGUAGAUAUCGAGAAGAACACCGGUGGCGAAGGCGGCCAACUGGACGGUGACUGACACUGAGACGCGAAAGCGUGGGGAGCAAACAGGG